rnacentral:rRNA from 1 species
UACGUAGGCAGCAAGCGUUGUUCGGAAUUACUGGGCGUAAAGAGUGUGUAGGCGGUGCUCCAAGUCUGGUGUGAAAUCUCCCGGCUUAACUGGGAAGGUGCAUUAGAAACUGGAAUGCUAGAGGAUGGGAGAGGUAAGCGGAAUUCCUGGUGUAGCGGUGAAAUGCGUAGAUAUCAGGAGGAACACCUGUGGUGUAGACAGCUUACUGGACCAUUUCUGACGCUGAGACACGAAAGCGUGGGUAGCAAACAGG